rnacentral:tRNA from 2 species
GGCGGCAUAGCCAAGUGGUAAGGCAACGGCCUGCAAAGCCGAUAUUCUCCGGUUCGAAUCCGGAUGCCGCCUCCA